UACGUAGGGUGCAAGCGUUGUCCGGAAUUAUUGGGCGUAAAGAGCUCGUAGGCGGUCUGUCGCGUCGGCUGUGAAAUCCCGGAGCUCAACUCCGGGCCUGCAGUCGAUACGGGCAGACUGGAGUUCGGCAGGGGAGACUGGAAUUCCUGGUGUAGCGGUGAAAUGCGCAGAUAUCAGGAGGAACACCGGUGGCGAAGGCGGGUCUCUGGGCCGAUACUGACGCUGAGGAGCGAAGCGUGG
rnacentral:rRNA from 1 species